CUCUACUUCGUGCCAAAUCAGAAGAGGGUCAAGUAAAGAAGAAGUCGAGCUCCUCCAGCAUUCAAGUCGACUACACAUUCGAGAGGAGACCGGAGUUCAAGAAGCCAUUCCUCUACUUCAGCUUAAAAGCGUUUGAGGGCUUCUAAACUCCUCUUUUGAUUAUAUUGUUUUACAUCUGCUUUUGAGAAGCUUAUUUUCCUUUCUUUCUAUAACUUGUAUUUACUUGGUUCAAUCGGGGGAUUGAAUCAAGGGGACUAAGGUUGGUUGGUGAGCCAAGUUAAAAACCAAUGCGUGUAAGGGUUUGAUUGUGAGCCCGGGAAAACAAUCGGGGUUGGUUCUAGUCGGUGAGCCUGGGAAAACCGACCGAGUUCGUUGUGACCUCGUAAAACAACAAGUUGGGUUGUGAGCUUGUAAAACAACCGGCUGUAAUCUAUAGGAUUAUAGUGGAAUUCCCAAGAGGUCUUGGGGAGUGGAUGUAGGUGCUGGGGUGCACCGAACCACUAUAUGUUUGUUGUGUUUGUGAUGUUUUUUUGUCAUUGUCUAACUUGCUUACUUAGAUAUAUUGCUUGCUUAACUCGUAUCUACGCAUCCCUUAGUUGCAAGCAUACUCAAUUUACUUAAUCAAGUCCCAUUUAAUAAAUCAUACUGUUGCUAAGUUUAAAUUCCACUGCGCAUCUAUACAACUUAGCAUAGUUAAUCAAAAAGUCUUAGAAGUAGUUUAAAAGUUUUAAAAGACCCAAUUCACCCCCCCUCUUGGGUUAUAUCUACUGGGCAAC
rnacentral:lncRNA from 1 species